UACGGAGGAGGCAAGCGUUAUCCGGAAUUAUUGGGCGUAAAGCGUCCGCAGGUGGCACUUCAAGUCUGCCGUCAAAGACCGGGGCUUAACCCCAGAAAGGCAGUGGAAACUGAAGUGCUAGAGUGCAGUAGGGGUAGAGGGAAUUCCCGGUGUAGCGGUGAAAUGCGUAGAGAUCGGGAAGAACAUCGGUGGCGAAAGCGCUCUGCUGGACUGCAACUGACACUCAGGGACGAAAGCUAGGGGAGCGAACAGG
rnacentral:rRNA from 1 species